CAAAAAAUUGAUAAAGAACACUUCAGUCUAACUGGAAAGGGCUGAACAAGACCACAUGAAUGGAAGCUAGACAAAAGCCCAUCGGAGAUUCAUUUCCAACAUAGAUGGCAAUUUAUCACUGGAGCUAUUUACCAGAAAUUAUCACGUCCCUCCCUUCCUUCCUCCAGGGAGGUGAUCCUUCCCCUCUACUCAGCCCUGGUGAGGCCACAUCUGCAGUGCUGGGUCCAUUUCUGGGCUCUCCAGGUCAAGACAGACACGGACUUACUGGAACGAGUCCAGCAAUGGGCCACAUAGAUAAUUAAGUGACUGAUCAUCUCUCAUAUGAGGAAAGGCUGCGAGAGCUGGGACUGUUCAGCCUGGAGAAGAGAAGGCUCAGGUGGAUCUCAUCAAUGUGUAUAAAUACAUGUUGGGAGACUGUAAAUAGGAUGCCAGACUCUUCUCAGUGGUGCCCAGUGACAGGAUGAGAGGCAAUGGCACAAACUGGAGCACAGGAAACUCCACUUGAACACAAGGAAACACUUCUUCACUGUGAUGGUGGCUGAACACUGGAACAAGCUGCCCAGAGAGGCUGUGGAGUCUCCGUCCUUGGAGAUAUUCAAAACCUGACUGGGCAGGGUCCUGGGCAACCUGCCCUAGGUGACCCUGCUUUGAGCAGGGGGCAGUGGACCAGAUGAUCUCCAGAGGUUCCUUCCAACUCCAACUAUUCUCUGAUUCUGUGGUUCUGUGAUUAUGCAGUGUGCCAGGUGGGAAUUUGUUUAUUGACUUCAGUGACCACUGGAUUCAAUUCUGUGCUUCUGGUUUUCAAACUCACUAUCUGAGUACUCUCGAGUCUCUCACUAGGAUAUGCAAAUCUCUCAUUCAGAUGAUCAAAACGCAAUGUCAUAACAUAAUGGCAUUCGAAUUUCUGAGUUCCAAUAUAUGCAUCCAGACAUGCCCCUUUCAGGCUCGAUCUGUCAGUGGGAUUUAUAGAUAAAGUAGGUUUUGAGUUGCUUGAGUGAUAUAAGCAAUCUAGUACAUUAUGUUUUUGCUUACUACUUACAGAAUGUUAAAACGCUCAGAGAAAUAAGUAAAUGAAGUUCCCCAAUAGA